UGAGGAAUAUUGGUCAAUGGGGGCAACCCCGAACCAGCCAAGUCGCGUGAAGGAUGAAGGUCUUAUGGAUUGUAAACUUCUUUUAUACAGGAAUAAAUUGGGGGACGUGUCCCCUUUUGCAUGUACUGUAUGAAUAAGGAUCGGCUAACUCCGUGCCAGCAGCCGCGGUAAUACGGAGGAUCCGAGCGUUAUCCGGAUUUAUUGGGUUUAAAGGGUGCGCAGGCGGGAUGUUAAGUCGGCGGUGAAAUUUUUCGGCUUAACCGAGAGACUGCCAUUGAUACUGUGUUGCUAGAAUAUGGUUGCUGUGAGUGGAAUGUGUGGUGUAGCGGUGAAAUGCUUAGAUAUCACACAGAAUAUCGAUUGCGAAGGCAGCUCACAAAGCCAUUAUUGACGCUGAGGCACGAAAGUGUGGGGAUCAAACA
rnacentral:rRNA from 1 species